CUGAAAAACACUGGGAGGGUUUUGUUGCUAUCAGUUACCAAAGUAUUUCUGUAGCAUGAAAUUGAAGGCAUGUGCUACACAUAUGGAUGUGGCUUUGAGGCAUACAGGAAGCAAAGCUCAGAGCAAGUAGGAACUCGGGAUACCCUGUCACAAAUACAUGUGGUGAAGUCCAGAUAUCAAGUUUCCUUGGACAAUGAACAUAUUCAGCACAUCAGAAAGAAUAUCACUACAGAACUGUCUACGCUGUCAGCAGUACAAGUUACAGAAUGAAUUACUACUGAAUCUCAAUUUAGGGAUCAGGAGAGGAUGUGCUGAGUAAGUGAAAACACAGAAGCAAAGCGACAUGCCAUGGCUUUGUGGAUAUGUGGAUACAAGCAAUUACAGCUUAAUAGAUGUGGGUAAGCUGGUGAACAGAUAGAGGUUCUGCACUUCUUCAUGGUUUGCCCAAAGAUCAACAUUCUAAAUAUACCUUAUCUAAGACAACAAAUAAUGAAAUUGUCAAGUGAACUUGAACAUCAGAAUAAAUUUGAGAAAUCUCCUUAUAUCAAAAAGAAGCUUCAGAAAAAAAAUAGCAAGACAAGUUGUAGUUAAGUGCUGAAGAAUGAAAGGAUUGCUUUCCAGCAUUUUUAUUCCAGCUUCAGCAUAUUUUAUUUUAUAUAUAUAUAAAUAUAUAUACACACAUAAUUACAUACAUAUAUACACACACACACAUAUAUCUAUGCAGUGUUUUUCCCUCAAGGAAUAAGCCAUCUUAUUUAUGUCAUAGCUGAGAGGUGUGAAUUUCCUUCGCGCUUUAUCCAGCUUCAUAGAUGAAUCCCUGUUGGCAGAUCACACUGCACAGAAGACUGGUGAGUGACAGAGGCCACUGAUUACUAAUGGCCACAUCAGGAGGAAUUGCACUGUGAGGGAAGAUACCCACUUCCUCCUCAUCCCUAAUUUUGGGGUCUUGUUUCUAGAGAGUCCAUUGGAAGGAUUCACAUGGGGGACAGAGAAAUAAAAUACUAUCCACGUUCAUAAAAAGGUGUUUUCCUAAGCAACCACACUUCCCUCCCCCUCUAAACUCAAGGAGUGAGAAUAAAGCCUCCUGACAGGCUAUUCUCUUACUGUGCCAUGUUUCAAAGCCUUAUAAGGAGAAGAAACUGUGGCAUAAUUAAUACAUUGGAUAGCUGAAGACAUUACUGAAUCGUUAAACUGCAGCAUUUAACUGCAGUUAAAGUAUUCUUGGCCCCUAGGUCUUUACCAUUGUAUAAUCAUGAUCAGCUGUUUUAGAUAAACUAUGGAGAAAGUAAGAUAAAUCUUCCCAAAAUUUACAGUGAAGAAUAAAAUUCAGCAUAUAGCUUUCCCCUGCUCAUGGAAUUGAAUCAAUCAAUACUGCAUUAUGCUAUUGCUGGAGUGCAUAGUAGCAAUCACUGUUUGACAGUAAGGGUAUUUUGCACAGCAGUGAAGGUUAUCUAUAUAAUUUGUUUUAAACCUUUGGGUUCCCUAUGUUAGUCCUUUGGGAGAACUGCAGGAAACCUUGCUCUGUACAUUUUCUGUUUGCUGAAAAUUGUAACAUAGUCAUCAGAAAAAGAAAAAGAGAGAAAGAGAGAAAGAGAGAAAGAGAGAAAGAGAGAAAGAAAGAAAGAAAGAAAGAAAGAAAGAAAGAAAGAAAGAAAGAAAGAAAGAAAGAAAGAAAGAAAGAAAGAAAGAAAGAAAGAAAGAAGGAAAGAAAGAAAGAAAGAAAGAAAGAAAGAAAGAAAGAAAGAAAGAAAGAAAGAAAGAAAGAAAGAAAAGAAAAAAAAAUCAAAAGGAUAACAAAGCUUUGCUAAUAGGAAUGAUCCAUACACCCAGACAGAUGCGUUUUCCUGUGGACAGUGGAAAGAAUGCAGAUGUAAUUGGAACCCAUUGGAACCCAUUUUUGCCCAGGAGAUCUCAGAUGGAAGUCUGGAAGUCCUGACUGAAAAAAAUGAAGUGGAAUUCAGAGCAAUUUUUUGCCACUUCUUUCCAAUUCAGUUUUCAGCACGACUACAAAGGGACUUCUUGCUUCAGGCCAGGCUGGAUGAUUUGUGAAGCCACGGAAGUAAAAAUAAAGUAAAGCUGUCCUUCAAGAAACUGAAUAAACUGUUUUGGUUGAGUGUGUGGUUUUCUAAAUACAUGCAGAAAGAUGUAUACCCCAAACAUGUAUUUAGCAGAAUGGAUUUUGUUAAUGUCAAUAGCUAAAUACCAUAUUGGUUUGUUUUAUCAGCAUGCACAAUACUUACUUUUUAAAUGAUUCCAUCACUGUAUGUGGUUUAUGUAAAGCAAGUAAACUGAGAUUUCAUGUAAUUACAGUAAUUAAAAAGAGAGGUGGACAGGGCAGACUAUUUGUUAUACCAUGUAUGAUAAGAAGAUAGAGGCACCAUUCAAAGAGUUAUGACUUGUUAGUGAGUAGUAGACUCUUGAAAUUGUCAAGAAGUGUUGUUUGAAAAAAACAAAUGAAGAGAAGCAGAUAAAAUCAUCUAUUAUUAACUAAUGUAAGCAUAUGAAUUUCAGCGUGCAGCAUGCUUGCUACCGAUAGUCAUGGUGCAUUGUUACAGUGAAUUAAUAACAUUGUCACAAUGGAUAAUAUCACAUUUUCUGGCUAUACAAGUGAAAGGAAAACUAUCAGAAUUUCACAAUAACAGAGAAGCUUUGAAAUUAAAAUAAUAAUAAUAAAAGCCUACAAACUCACCACCAUUAAGUUACAUUCUUGAGUGGUGGGCAGUAUAACCUUGGCCUACUAUAGUAAAUGAAAGAGCACCAACCUGUUUGUAGGAGAUACGUGUUUUGCAUGCAUAUCUUAGUUGAUUUUAAUCUUUCUGAUUGAAUUUAGGGUGAAUAUUAAAAGCAAACUCAUAAUUUUUUGCACUUGAUAUUUCCAGUGGAAGGAGCACUGCCUAGUACAAUAUCUUCUAAUAAAAUAAAAUAAAAAUUCAUAAUUAUAAAUAAAAUAAAAAUUCAUAGUUGACUUCAGCUUCUCAACAGUGUCUAUGAAAUUUACUCCUAUUUGGUUUGUCUUUCUUCAUCACUGCCAAAAUAGAUCCUUUGUAUCUGUAUCUACAAUAAUGUACACCAUCUCCCUCAUAGGUACUGAACAUCCUAGACACCUCCAAAUCAAUCAUAAAUUAGUGAGGCAAAGUUAGUUAAUUUAAGUGAGUUUAAGCAAUGAUAACUUAAUGGAGGGACUUGUAAACCACAGCAGAAAUGUAAUGUUUAUGGAUUUUUUACAUAAAUGGAAGAAAAACAGGAUUUUUCAAUUUCUUCUGGGAAAAAAAAACAGCAACAACAACCAUGAAGUGAAAAUGAGAACAUGGGAAGGGAGCAGUGCAGUGCUGAUUUGUCCUCUCACAGCCACAGCACUUAUUUAGAUGCAUCAAGACUCACACGUAUUGCACAUUACAUGCGCUUCUGUCGCUUGCUGAGUAAAAUGCAGUGAUUGUCGAUAUUAGUAUUUCAACCUGUCUAAUGGCAAACCCCAAAAAAACCAAAACUCUGGAUGAAGGAAGAGUGUUAAACAAAAAAUGGUCAGAUUAGUAAUUUUUUUUUCAAGACAAAUAAUAUGGCACUCUGCUUAAUUUGCAAGGAAAUGAUGUCAGAUUUCAAACAAUACCAUUUGAAAAGAUAUUAAGUGCAGAAACAUGCUGACAAAUUCAAUGAAUAUCAAAGAAUGCCUCAUAAAGACAAAACAGUGGAACUGAAAACAAAGUCUAUCACCUCAACGCAAGCUUUUUUAAAAAGUUAAAUGGACUGUUGUAAAAGCUAGUGACAUGGUAACAAAUCUGAUGGCAAAAAAUCAAAACCAUUUACUGAUGGUGAGUUUAUUAAGCAGUGAAAGAAAAGCAUGACAGAUAUAAUGUGUCCUCAUAAAAAAUGGACUUUUCUAAUAUCAGUUUGUCUCACCAGACUGUAGCUAGGUGAACUUAAGAAACAGGAAAAUCUAUUGAGAGAAAUUCGGUGAUAGACAAAAGUACGG
ensembl:lncRNA